rnacentral:rRNA from 1 species
GACGAACCGUGCGAACGUUAUUCGGAAUCACUGGGCUUAAAGCGCGUGUAGGCGGGUGGGGACGUCGGCAUCUGAAAGCCCCCGGCUCAACCGGGGAAGGGGAUCCGAAACGCCCCGCCUGGAGGGACGUAGGGGGACCUGGAACUUCCGGUGGAGCGGUGAAAUGCGUUGAGAUCGGAAGGAACGCCCGUGGCGAAAGCGAGGUCCUGGACGUCUGCUGACGCUGAGACGCGAAAGCUAGGGGAGCGAACGGG